rnacentral:rRNA from 1 species
AUUGAACGCUGGCGGCAGGCCUAACACAUGCAAGUCGAGCGAGCGGCGGACGGGUGAGUAAUGUCUGGGAAAAUGCCUGAUGGAGGGGGAUAACUACUGGAAACGGUAGCUAAUACCGCAUACCAUCAGAUGUGCCCAGAUGGGAUUGGCUAGUAGGUGGGGUAAUGGCUCACCUAGGCGACGAUCCCUAGCUGGUCUGAGAGGAUGACCAGCCACACUGGGACUGAGACACGGUCCAGACUCCUACGUGAGGCAGCAGUGGGGAAUUUUGCACAAUGGGCGCAAGCCUGAUGCAGCCAUGCCGCGUGUGUGAAGAAGGCCUUCGGGUUGUAAAGCACUUUCUGCGGGGAGGCGUUACCCGCAGAAGAAGCACCGGCUAACUCCGUGCCAGCAGCCGCGGUAAUUC